AAUCAAGAGAACAAGGGCACACGGUGGAUGCCUAGGCGCCAAGAGCCGAUGAAGGACGUGGGCGGCUGCGAUAAGCCCGGAGGAGGUGCUGACCGACCUUUGAUCCCGGGAUCUCCGAAUGAGGAAACUCACGCGUGGUAAUGCGCGCGUACUCCUGCCUGAAUCCAUAGGGCAGGUAGAGGCAAGCUGGGGAACUGAAACAUCUAAGUACCCAGAGGAAAGGAAAGAAACCUCGACUCCCUGAGUAGUGGCGAGCGAAAAGGGAAGAGCCCAAACCCGGCCGACGUGAUAGACGGCAGUCGUUGUCGUCCGGGGGUUGUAGGGCCUGUCUCGAUCCGUCUGCCGGCGGGUCGGCGAGUUACAAAGUCGCGUCGUAGCGGAAGCGGAUGGAAAGCCGCACCACAGCGGGUAAGAGUCCCGUACGCGAAACGGCGGGGCCUCGCUGGACAGGUACCUGAGUACGGCCGGGCACGGGAAACCCGGUCGGAACCCGCGGGGACCACCCCGUAAGGCUAAGUACUCCUUGGCGACCGAUAGUGAACUAGUACCGUGAGGGAAAGGUGAAAAGUACCCCGCGAGGGGAGUGAAAUAGCACCUGAAACCGUGUGCCUACAAGCGGUCGGAGCGGCUCUGCUGUUUAUACAGCACUGUGCCGUGACGGCGUGCCUUUUGCAUAAUGAGCCAGCGAGUUGCUCUUCAACGGCAAGGUUAAGGAAACGGAGCCGUAGCGAAAGCGAGUCUGAACAGGGCGUUCAGUCGUUGGAGGCAGACCCGAAACUGAGUGAUCUACCCAUGGGCAGGUUGAAGCGGGGGUAAGACCCCGUGAAGGACCGAACACACGUCGGUUGAAAACGGCGGUGAUGACCUGUGGGUCGGAGUGAAAGGCUAAUCAAACUCAGAGAUAUCUGGUUCUCCCCGAAAUAUAUUUAGGUAUAGCGUCGCGUGUUCAUUCCCGGUUGUAGAGCACUGUUUGGUCUAGGGGGCCUACCAGCUUACUGAAAUCAGGCAAACUCCGAAGGCCGGGAAUCCAGAGCGCGGCAGUCAGACUGCGGGGGAUAAGCUCCGUGGUCGAAAGGGAAACAGCCCAGACCGUCGGCUAAGGCCCCUAAUUCCAUGCUAAGUGGCAAACGAUGUCUGAUUGCACAGACAACCAGGAUGUUGGCUUAGAAGCAGCCACCAUUCAAAGAGUGCGUAACAGCUCACUGGUCAAGUGAUCGGGCGCGGAUAAUGUAACGGGGCUCAAGCAUGGAGCCGAAGCCACGGACUUCAGCCUCGAGCUGGAGUGGUAGGGGAGCGUUCCCAUUGCGGUUAAGCGGCGGCGGAAGCCUGUCGUGGAGCGAUGGGAAGUGAGAAUGCUGGCAUGAGUAACGAAAGAGGAGUGAGAAACUCCUCCGCCGAAUGCCCAAGGGUUCCUGAGUAAAGCUAAUCUGCUCAGGGUUAGUCGGGACCUAAGCCGAGGCCGAAAGGCGUAGGCGAUGGACAACAGGUUGAUAUUCCUGUACCACGUACCGUUCGCUUGACCGAAGGCGGGACGGGGUAGGCUAGGGAAACCCAGGCGAUGGUCGACCUGGGGUAACCGCGUAGGCCGGGUGAUAGGAAAAUCCGUCACCCAUCAAGGCUGAGACGGGAUGCCGAGCCCGAAUGGGCGAAGUUCCUGACGCCAUGCCUCCAAGAAAAGCGUCUAGGGAGAACGGGCGUGCCCGUACCAAAACCGACACAGGUGGGCAGGUAGAGAAUACCAAGGCGAUCGGAAGAACCCUCGUUAAGGAACUCGGCAAAAUGGUCCCGUAACUUCGGGAGAAGGGACGCCUCGGUAGGGUGAAGAUCCCUUGCGGAUCGGAGCUCGAGGAGGCCGCAGAGAAACGGCCCAAGCGACUGUUUACCAAAAACACAGGCCUCUGCUAAGUCGCAAGACGACGUAUAGGGGCUGACGCCUGCCCGGUGCCGGAAGGUCACGAGGAGAGGUUAGCCUUCGGGCGAAGCUUUGAAUCCAAGCCCCGGUAAACGGCGGCGGUAACUAUAACCGUCCUAAGGUAAAUCGCUGCCCCCCGGUCUGGUAACAGAUCGGUGCGCAUCUGGCCAUAUGCUGGAAACUCCGAGUAUCCCGCACUACUCUCGUGCCGUCCGACGGGCGGUUUACGAUAGUGACAACGUGACGGGUGCGGACAAUCAGCAGGAAAGGCUGGCCGAGCUUCGAGGUUGGGUGAUCGGGUUCGUCGACGGAGAAGGAUGCUUCUCGAUCUCGUUCUUGCGACAGCGUCGUGGGAGUGAGAGCGGCGACGGAACCGGAUUCCAGGUGUUCCACGAGUUCGUGGUGACUCAGGGCGAGCGCAGCAUCGACGCCCUCCACGACCUACGGGGAUACUUCGGUGUCGGGCAAGUGGUUGUGAAUCGUCGAUACGACGACCAUCGCGAGCACCUGUACCGAUACGUGGUGCGGCGGCGCGAGGAUCUGCUCGAGACGAUCAUUCCGUUCUUCGAGCAGCAUCCGCUGCGAACGGCGAAGCGACACGACUUCGCCAAGUUCGCGGAAUGCGUCGAACUCGUCGCCGGCGGUCACCACCGGACCCGCUUGGGUCUGCUGGAGAUCGUGCGGAUCGUCGAGACGAUGAACCGUCGCAAACCCAGACCGGAGCUCGUCAGAAUCCUCAGAGACCAUACGCCAGACGUCCGCGACAGCGGAUGAUGAGAUGGUCCCCUCUGCAUGGCGACAUGCAGGUGAUAUCGAUCCAAGGAAGUCGAUAUCCGCUCGGAAUAGCCACCGAGUAAGACUGAAGCGAAAUUCCUUGUCGGGUAAUCGGAAUGAAUUGCCCGGUUCGGAAGUAAUUCCGGACGGAUGACCGGCUAAUAACGGGGAAGCCCUCCUCGUAUGCGGCGCUUCAAGGACGCCGUGACAGCGAAAGGGUAAUCCCGUGGGAAGUCGGCUCGAGCGAUCGGGCUUGACCCCGUAACGACUGAUCGUCCGCGUUGUCUACGCGGACGUGAGAUCGCGUCUCCGUCGUCCGAGCGAUCGGCGACAAUCUACGAGUGCGAUCAUACGCCGGCCCCUACAGCAGUCGCGAGUUCCUCUCGGCGUACGUCUCCGGCUACGUCGACGGAGAAGGAUGCUUCACCGUCUCCAUCUCACCGCGAGCGAAGCUCAGGGUGGGGUGGGAGGUGCGGCCAAGCUUCUCCGUCAGCCAGAACGGAGACCGCGCCGAGGUGCUGUACGCGAUCCAGGAGCUGUUCGAGUGCGGAAGCAUUCGGCCUGAUCGGAGCGACAGGACGCUGAAGUGGGAGACCCGCCGGCUCGAGGACAUCCUCGAGCGGGUGAUUCCGCACUUCGAGUCAUGGCCACUCAGUCAGGGAAGCAGCGUGACUUCGUGCGUUUCGCGGUCGUUUGCCGUCUCAUGGCGGUAGGCGCGCACCGAAACCGCGAGGGACUGGCUCGGAUCGUCGAGCUCGCCCGGGAGAUGAGCCCGAGCGGGACGAGGCGGUACGACGCGUCGGCGAUACUCCGACAGCUGCAGGGUGGAGAGAUAGUCUGCGCCUCCGGAGACGGAGGAGGAACGCGAAGUUCCGACCUGCACGAAUGGCGUAACGACUUGGGCGCUGUCUCAACGAGGGAUCCGGUGAAAUUGUAGUCUCGGUGAAGAUGCCGAGUACCCGUGGCUGGACGGAAAGACCCCGUGAACCUUUACUGCAGCUUUGCGUUGAAGUCUGGUGUUCGCUGUCCAGGAUAGGUGGGAGGCUUUGAAGCGGGGGCGUCAGCUCUCGUGGAGCCAACCUUGGGAUACCACCCUUCGGAUUCUGGGCUUCUAACCCGAUGCCGUGAUCCGGGUCGGGAACAGCGUGAGGUGGGCAGUUUGACUGGGGCGGUCGCCUCCUAAAAUGUAACGGAGGCGCGCAAUGGUUCCCUCAGCACGGUUGGAAAUCGUGCGUAGAGCGCAAAGGCAUAAGGGAGCCUGACUGCGAGACUGACAAGUCGAGCAGGGACGAAAGUCGGCCUUAGUGAUCCGGCGGUUAAGAGUGGAAUUGCCGUCGCUCAACGGAUAAAAGGUACUCCGGGGAUAACAGGCUUAUCCUCCCCAAGAGUCCACAUCGACGGGAGGGUUUGGCACCUCAAACAUCUGGGGUGAUCCGGUGGAAACACCGGUUACGUAUCGGCUAAUAACGGUGGAGCCCGCGCCUGGGUGCCGUCAUGGCGGCACCGUAAGAUGGGUAAUACCGUGGGAAGUCUGUCGGAAGUGCAACAUUCGAUCGUUGUCGGGACACUUCUCGGCGACGGGACGAUGCGUUGCAAGACCAACGCGCUUCUCGAGAUCAACCAUUCACACCACCAAGAGAGCUACGUCUGGUGGAAGUAUGAGCAUCUCUCCGACCUCGUGGCGACCCCGCCACAGCGUCGGAAGGGGAAUGGUGGACGAAUCGCCUGUCGAUUCGUCACACGCAGUCUUCCGGUCCUGACAUCGUACUUCCGUCUGUUCUACGCAGACCGAGGAAAGGUCGUGCCGGGGGAGCUCGAACUUUCGCCUCUGUCGCUCGCGGUGUGGUUCAUGGAUGACGGUUGUCGAUCUCGGAACGCGGUGUACCUCAACACGCAACAGUUCGGUAUCGGUGAGCAGCGACGCCUGCUCGCGAUGCUGAAGCGGCAGUGGGGCAUCGAUGGAGCGCUCAAUCGAGACAGGUCGUACCGACGCAUCCGCCUCAGCGUGGAUGGGACGAGACGUCUGACUAGGCUGAUCGGGCCAUUGGUGCUUCCGGAGUUGAGUUACAAGCUUCCGCGAAUGACCCCGUAACGACUGAGACCUGCGGGUCGAGGUGGUUCGCUAGUCCCUAUGGGACACUCUGUGGCGACCACAAGACGCCGACCCCUCGCCUUUGGUCAGGCAGGGUGAAGUUAUAGUCUGCGCCGUCGGUAACGACGGAUUACGUGCGAUGUCGGCUCGUCGCAUCCUGGGGCUGAAGCAGGUCCCAAGGGUUGGGCUGUUCGCCCAUUAAAGCGGCACGCGAGCUGGGUUCAGAACGUCGUGAGACAGUUCGGUCCCUAUCCGCCAUGGGCGUUGGGAACUUGAGAGGAGUCGUCUCUAGUACGAGAGGACCGAGAUGAACAGACCUCUGGUGUAUCAGUUGUCCUGCCAAGGGCACUGCUGAUUAGCCACGUCUGGAUGGGAUAACCGCUGAAAGCAUCUAAGCGGGAAGCCCACCUCGAGAUGAGGUUCCCCAUCACUUCGAGUGAGUAAGGGCCGUGGAAGACCACCACGUCGAUAGGCGGGCGGUGCAAGCGCAGCAAUGCGUUCAGCUGACCCGUACUAAUUGCCCGAGGUCUUGAUUUU
rnacentral:rRNA from 1 species